rnacentral:rRNA from 1 species
GGCAGCCGCCGCGGUAAUACCGGCGGCUCGAGUGGUGGCCACUUUAUGGGCUUAAGCGUCGUAGCUGGGUAUAAGUCCCUUGGGAAAUCCGACAGCUUAACUGUCGGGCGUCUAAGAGAUACUGGUAAUCUUGGAACCGGGAGAGGUGAGGGGUACUUCGGGGGGUAGGAGUGAAAUCCUGUAAUCCUCGAGGGACCACCUGUGGCGAAGGCGCCUCACCAGAACGGCUUCGACAGUGAGGGACGAAAGCUGGGGGAGCAAACCGGAUUAGAUACCCGGGUAGUCCCAGCCGUAAACGAUGUGCGUUAGGUGUAUCGGUGACCACGAGUCACCGAGGUGCCGAAGGGAAACCGUGAAACGUACCGCCUGGGAAGUACGGUCGCAAGGCUGAAACUUAAAGGAAUUGGCGGGGGAGCACCACAACAGGUGGAGCCUGCGGUUUAAUUUGGACUCAACGCCGGAAAUCUCACCGGAUAAGACAGCAGAAUGAUUGCCGGGCUGAAGACUCUGCAUGACUAGCUGAGAGUAGAGGUGCAUGG